rnacentral:rRNA from 1 species
AUACGUAGGGGGCGAGCGUUGUCCGGAAUUACUGGGUGUAAAGGGCGUGUAGGCGGGGAAGCAAGUUACCGGUAAAAACCCGCGGCUCAACUGCGGGCUUGCCGGUAAAACUGCAUCUCUUGAGUGCAGGAGAGGAAAGCGGAAUUUCCGGAGUAGCGGUGAAAUGCGUAGAUACCGGGAGGAACACCAGUGGCGAAGGCGGCUUUCUGGCCUGUAACUGACGCUGAGGCGCGAAAGCUGGGGGAGCGAACGGGAUUAGAUACCCCGGUAGUCCCAGCCGUAAACGAUGGUCACUAGGUGUGGGUGGUGGUCAAGCCAUCCGUGCCGGAGCUAACGCAAUAAGUGACCCACCUGGGGAGUACGGCCGCAAGGUUGAA